AUACGGAGGGUGCAAGCGUUACUCGGAAUCACUGGGCGUAAAGCGCGCGCAGGCGGCCAUUUAAGUUGGAUGUGAAAGCCUACGGCUCAACCGUAGAACUGCAUCCAAAACUAUUUGGCGAGAGUGUGGGAGAGGAAGAUGGAAUUAGUUGUGUAGGGGUAAAAUCCGUAGAGAUAACUAGGAAUACCAAAAGCGAAGGCAAUCUUCUGGAACAUUACUGACGCUGAGGCGCGAAAGCGUGGGGAGCAAACAGGAUUAGAUACCCUAGUAGUCC
rnacentral:rRNA from 1 species